UACAGAGGUCUCAAGCGUUGUUCGGAUUCAUUGGGCGUAAAGGGUGCGUAGGUGGCGGGGCCAGUCAGGUGUGAAAUCCCGGGGCUUAACCCUGGAACUGCAUUUGAUACUGCCUUGCUGGAGAACUGGAGAGGAGACUGGAAUUUACGGUGUAGCAGUGAAAUGCGUAGAGAUCGUAAGGAAGACCAGUGGCGAAGGCGAGUCUCUGGACAGUUCCUGACACUGAGACACGAAGGCCAGGGGAGCAAACGGG
rnacentral:rRNA from 1 species